CCCAAGAAGGUAAUCAAACGAAGCAAAAAUUAGAAGGGAAUAAAAGCAAACGGCGCUGCCGGCCGGCCUGCCCCUGCCGAAACGAACGGCGGCCGGCACACAAACGACCUACAAACGAGGGAGGUUGAACGUAAAGAGAUGACCGAUGCCACGAACAUGACCGGGGUGUGUGAACGGAAGUUAGUGUCAUCUAAUAAGGGAGGUUAUUAAGGAGGAGGUGACUAACCGGUAAUGCUGAGGUCACGAGACGGACCACGAAAAAGAGCCCGUUUAGGGGGUACCGCAGGUGCCGACCUGAGGUUUGAAGGGUGCCGGUGACCAAGUUGUGGUGGGAGUGUAGGAGGGUUAGGGUGGAACCGAAGGCGAGGAGGAAGGGCGCAGGAGGUCGACCCCUAAAAAACCUCGCAAGAGGAGGAGCAACGGCGGCUGCUACGAGCGUACGCCACCGCCGCCGCUAGCACCACCUCUUCGACCCCGUCCCUUCCAGACAACCUGGAAGAGACGGCCACGGAGCUGCUUCGGCGCUACCGAAGAACCGCGCCGCCCCCGCAGUCGUCGGACGACGGCGAGGGACACCGUCGCGGCACCUCCCUCGCCCACGCCGGCGGGGUCCAUGCGCGCGCUCGUGGGCGACCAGCAGCCUCGCCUACUCUCUGGUACGCCCCUUACCUCUAUCGACAUCGAAACAUCUCGUUGGCUAGCGAAGCGCUUAUGGAACUGGUCGGAGGGAUUCGGACCACCACCUCUCAUACCGUUCAAGAUGUCGUAAGGACGUGACUUACUAGGUUUCUAUCUAUUCGAAGGGAUGACAUAGGCGUAAGAAGAUCUUAGUCGGCAGGCGUUGAUGCUAUUGAAGGUUCAAUGCCUCUCACUACAGGUCUUAUAGUAGCUGACCCUCUUCUGUAGGGGUUUCGAACGGCUCUAUGGUAAGUUCGGUCGUGCCGAACAAGAAUACCUGUUGUGACCGCCGGGUCGACAACAUCUAGAACGUCGGUAUGCUCUACACUAUCGCCUCGAUCUGUCACUAGGGUUUUUCUAGUUAGGUGACCAAGGCCACCUAGAGCAGUAACUAGUGAGUCACGCCCACCUACAUCGGUUCACACGGCUACGUAACUUUGUUUUGUACCUGGACCUCAAAUCGGCGUUGUUUCUCUCUAAAUCAAAGAAGUUUACCCGCAGUAGACGAAAGUUGUUAUACGACCAAGACGGGGGACCAAGACCCUAGGAAGUAGUUCAGUUAGAACUCAUAGAAAGGUCCCAACAGAAGUUUCGUCUACCACAGAACAUGGGACUGUCGCACCAACCGUGACUAAGUGUGUGGUGUUACUAAUUAUCAGAGCCACAACGUCCAACCCCUCACCCACCAUAGCUUCGUUACCGGCGUUACGAACCCGUCGGUUACUCGUACCAAAAUGGUCCACACCAACCUAAGUUCGACUGGCCUUUCAAUGUCCUACCACAGUGAUGAUGUCUGGAACGGGAAUGAAACUGGGUUUACGAUUCCUUCGUACCACAACAACCGUUUAAAUAACUUAAAAAAAUGCCACUCCCACACCCGUCGUAGGGAAACGGACGAUCUCGGUGUUAGCGUUUGUACUGAGGCCUUAUACCGCGAUGGUACCCUAAAAAGGGACAUCUAGUUCACCGUAAUCUAAUGGAGUCUGAUUAUCCCGCUUCACUACUUUGUCAUAGUUACUAACUUCGUAUAAACGCUCGAUUGUUCUACAAACAUCUGACGUUACUCGAAGUUUGCCCUGGUCAAAUGAGAAGUCUAGAACUCGACCUGGAAUGAUGCCACCUCGGAAGACAACGGCCGGGUUUCUCCGGAGUACUGGCCCAAGGAAACUUCCUCUACUUUAGACUAACCGUAUGAACGGACCCGUUACUCCAACCAAAGUUCCACUUCGGUACCCAAUUCUGUUCGGACCGGGGACCUAGAAACCAACAGUGGUUUAUGAACCUUGUGUCACCGGAAGUUCUUAUAAACUUGGUAGUUCCGAAGGUAGAACAGCCUAUACCAACAUGGUGAACAUAGCCGUUGAGGCCGCUGGAACUAUUUAGAAAUAGUCUACGAUAACAUCUAUUGCUACAACAACAACAACAACGACACAACAGCCCGUUGGCAUUGAUACUCCCAGCACACGUGGGAGAUUGAGCUCGAUUGAUGGAGCGGAGUGGUGGAGAACAACAACGUAUACGAGAACGACCGUGGCAACUGUAACUAAAACUCUUGCUUGGAUAACCUUAACCUUUCCUACCGUUCCUCCAAAUGAAGUUCCUACAUACCGGGUGUUUACUUCUUUAGCUCGUCCAAUAGUUCAGGUUGCACAACGGCUUCUACAAGCACCUGUGCAUACUAAGGUAGUGCCUCCCGUUGCUACGUACCUUGUUUAAUCACCAGGGCUUUCUCUGCGAGAUGGGCACCCUAGGCUUUAGGUGGAUGUAGGUGUUCGGUCGCAUGGACCUUUUAUAUUGGUACUGGGGCGGGCCGGGCGGGAGUCACUUCCUACGGAUGACGGAUGAUUCGGACCCCCUGUCGUAGUGAUGGCUGGUGUAGAGAGGGAGCCCCCAGUAGUUCGGUCCUUGGGGACGGCGGUUCAUAGACGACCUCGCGCCGCACUUCGGACUCUUGAAGUGGUGUAUACCGUCGGCUGCACGGUUGCUGCUCUAGCAACACUCUCCCCGUAAACGGUUGUAAUCCUAACACUUGUUCGAAAACCUCCCUCUCCACCCCGGAUUUUGACAGGUACAGGGAUGCCCCCUCUUCGUAAUGCAAAAGCUGCGACGGUACUUUAUGUUCAGCCUCCCAGUACUGUACCAGUAAGAACGGCCACUACUCAUACCUCGGCCCUCGAGCGCACUAUCACGGCGGUUCCCCGGUAACGAGGACCCGCAGUUCCGUCACUAGCGAUUCCCGAAGCUCGCGUAGGUGGCCUCAUUGAACCACCCCUACCCCUAGUAGGGAGAGGCGAAGUUCCGACCGCUCCUACGUCUAAGUGAGUUGGAGUCACCCGUACUCGCAAAGUGCUAGCUGGAGGGAGCGUUCUAAUGGCUCUAGGCAGGUCCGGUUCUACACUAGCAAUGCUGUUUUUUACCCUUUAGGAAGUGAACGUGUGAAACGUAAUUGUGUGUCCACCUCGACCUUAUGAAAUUGGUACCUCCGUAGGAGGGGAUGGAAUAAGCGUUUAACCGUACUGACUGGCUACUUGAUGUAAAUUUAACAUAAUAGAUAUACGUUACAGUACUAAAAUAAGAAAUAUUUAACUAAUGAACAUGGGGAACUAAGGCAAAACUGAAAGUAAAAAAAAUUGUUUAAACACUGCUUUGUAAACUUUUCUGUCUCACCUCGAAGCUAUUAUUAAUUCUCCCCUGUUAAAUGAACUAUCACAUAACUAUUAAAUAAUCACUUCUGUUAUACAAACAAGCGCAUAUACAAUCAAUCAACAUUACCACAGCAGUUGUCAUAUACAAUCAAAAAAAAACUCCUUGUUAUAUAUAAUCAAUCAACAUUACCACAGCACGAACUACAACUACGUGGUUGUGGAGCACAAGAAGUAAAGGACAUAAUCCACGGCAUGUCUCCUACGUGGUCGAGGUAUCACAAUCCUUUAUACGUUGAACUUAAAGGUCUACCGGUAUCCGGUUAUAUAUAUGAACAUGUUCACACCUUAUACACGUCCUUUCUCCUUUAGGAAUACAGUGCAUCCGCCUAUAUAUGCACCGGUACAAAAUGAAAUCUAUAUACAGUGCAUCUAACCCAUACAUAUUAUAAAAGGUUCUAAAAAAAUGUGUUGGCCCAU
rnacentral:rRNA from 1 species